GACCCGUCUUGAAACACGGACCAAGGAGUCUAACUUGUACGCGAGUAACAAAGUUUACAUAUAAACUUUCAUGCAAAAUGAAAGUGAAGGCCCCCGCAAGGGGGCUGACGGAGGAUCCCCAGUGAUUGCCCUCCUUGUGUGGGACGGCUGGGGCGCACUCCGGGGGCAUCAUGACCGCAAUUGCCGGUUUGGUGCACCAAGAGCGUACACGUUGGGACCCGAAAGAUGGUGAACUAUGCCUGGCUAGGGCGAAGCCAGGGGAAACUCUGGUGGAGGCCCGUUUGGAUUCUGACGUGCAAAUCGAUCCUCACAGCUGGGUAUAGGGGCGAAAGACUAAUCGAACCAUCUAGUAGCUGGUUCCCCCCGAAGUUUCCCUCAGGAUAGCUGGUGCUCGUUUCAAGAUGAACAAGUUUCAUCCGGUAAAGCGAAUGAUUAGAGGCCUUGGGGGCGAAAUGACCUCAACCUAUUCUCAAACUUUAAAUGGGUGAGAAGCCGGGCUUCCUUGAAUGAAGCCUCGGCAUUCGAAUUGAUAGAGCACCAAGUGGGCCACUUUUGGUAAGCAGAACUGGCGCUGUGGGAUGAACCAAACGUUGAGUUACGGUGCCCGAAUGAACGCAAAUUUGACCCCAUGAAGGGUGUCGGUUGCUCCAGACAGCAGGACGGUGGCCAUGGAAGUUGGAAUCCGCUAAGGAGUGUGU
rnacentral:rRNA from 1 species